GAGUUUGAUCAUGGCUCAGAUUGAACGCUGGCGGCAUGCCUUACACAUGCAAGUCGAACGGCAGCACGGGAGCAAUCCUGGUGGCGAGUGGCGAACGGGUGAGUAAUACAUCGGAACGUGUCCUGUAGUGGGGGAUAGCCCGGCGAAAGCCGGAUUAAUACCGCAUACGAUCUGUGGAUGAAAGCGGGGGCUCCUUCGGGACCUCGCGCUACAGGGGCGGCCGAUGGCAGAUUAGCUAGUUGGUGGGGUAAGGGCCUACCAAGGCGACGAUCUGUAGCUGGUCUGAGAGGACGACCAGCCACACUGGGACUGAGACACGGCCCAGACUCCUACGGGAGGCAGCAGUGGGGAAUUUUGGACAAUGGGCGAAAGCCUGAUCCAGCAAUGCCGCGUGUGUGAAGAAAGCCUUCGGGUUGUAAAGCACUUUUGUCCGGAAAGAAAACCUCGUGGUUAAUACCCGUGGGGGAUGACGGUACCGGAAGAAUAAGCACCGGCUAACUACGUGCCAGCAGCCGCGGUAAUACG
rnacentral:rRNA from 1 species